AUUGAACGCUGGAGGCAGGCCUAACACAUGCAAGUCGAACGAGUGGCGGACGGGUGCGUAAUGUCUGGGAAACUGCCUGAUGGAGGGGGAUAACUACUGAACACGGUAACUAAUACCGCAUACCCUCAGAUAUGCCAGGAUGUGCUUAGCUAGUUGGUUGGGUAACGGCUCACCAAGGCGACGAUCCCUAGCUGGUCUGAGAGGAUGACCAGCCACCCUGGAACUGAGACACGUUCCAGACUCCUACGGGAGGCAGCAGUGGGGAAUAUUGCACAAUGUGAUCAAUCCUGAUGCAGCCAGUCCGCGUGUAUGAAGAAGGCCUUCGGGUUGUAAAGUACUUUCAGCGGGGAGGCGUUACCCGCAGAAGAAGCACCGGCUAACUCCGUGCCAGCAGCCGCGGUAAUUC
rnacentral:rRNA from 1 species